rnacentral:lncRNA from 1 species
GUUGUCUGUUUUUUAACAAGCUCUCAGGACUAAAUGGAGAGAUCCCUUUCUGAGCGCUACCCCUGACUUUUGCAAAUGCCAUAUUUCCAAACCAAAAGGACUUCCAGACUAAAGGGAAAUUGCGUAGAGGGCUCUCUUGCUCUGUAAUCUCCAUUUUGACAGUCAUUUUUUAUGCUGCCCACCGUUAUCUUUUUGUAUUCACUUAAAAGUGGAUUUAAGUUUAAAAAUGUGCAUCUCGAACUAAUGUUCUCACUUGCUAGUGAAUAAAUGGAAUGAAAUAUGUAGGAUAUCAUUUAUAUUGUUCGUGCUACACCUGGCAAAAGCAGAGUCUUACUGCCUGAUGGAAUUAUUUGAUGUGCAAAAGACACCACUGGCAUAAUGUAAGAAGUGAAUCUACCGAAGGUAUCCUAUAAAUAAAGCAGGCUAUUCUGUUAGCCUAUGUCUUUCAGAAAGAUAAAAUGCAGUUUGGCAAUGUCACAAACUAUUUCCUUUUCCUCUUCGUGCAUUGUUCUCUUUCAGUAGGCCAGUCUUUGUCCUAUUUCAUUUUCCCAUAGAACUCAGCUCAUGAGGUUAACUUUUACAGCCAUUUUUUAAGGCAGUAGAACUUUCAUGGGUGAAGAUUACUUGCUUUAAGUUGCCAAGUUACGGAGGAACGGACUAAAGCCAUAAAGUAUUAAGUUAGUCUCAAAAGCGUGCAUCCAGGAUGCAACGAUCCAUGGAACGUUGAAGGGCUCUUGUGGGAUUGGAAAAACAGAACAUUGAAAUUCCCACCAAAGCGGCCACAAAGCAAUCAACAGAGAAUUUUAAAGUCAUUAUCUGUCUUCUCUGUGUUCUGUGCAACUGGUUUCCAUUCCUACAAAGUCAGCUGGGCCAUUCAGAGAGUAAGUGCUCAUAUUUCAGUAUAUAUUCAUACUGACAAGUUUAUCCUAAUUUUUUUUUUUGAGAGACAUGGCAGCUUUUGAGGUUGAUACUAUUAGUAGAAUAUUAAGGUUGAGGAGGGUGAAAAUAGAAAAACAAAUGAGGACCAGAGCUUUCCAGAUCUCCUGAUAGCUUUAGAUUCAAAAACAAGUAAGCAAAACCCUAAAACUCU